GAUGGAUUCCUGCAGCCAUCAAAUGCUGAGCAGGCUAAAAAAAGCUUAGAGUUAGAAGUCUCCACAUUUUUGUCAAAAACAACACCACGUCCACAGCCAACACCACCACAACCCAAACGCUUUUCCUUCAUGAGUCAAAAGCUGGAGGAUAAAGUAAAUCAAAUAAAGCUGACGCCAUAAUUCUUUUGCGCCAAUAUUUUGAAACGGCGCAUGAAGCUGAAGAAGUCAAUCCACUUGACUAUUGGAAGGAGCAUACAAAGGAUACGACAGCUUUAGCAAUAUUAUCAAAGAAGUAUUUUUGCGUACCAGCGUCUUCCUGCGCUUCUGAACGAGCGUUCAGCAAAGCUGGACAAAUUGUAUCGGACAGGAGAUGCGCUUUAAAAUCGAAUAUAGUAGAUAAGCUACUUUUUCUCAACAAAAAUCAAAAACAAUGAUCUCUUAAUAAAUUUGUUAAGUUUUAA